AUACGAUAGCGUAAAAGUUAAUUCAGAUUUGUAUGGAGUUGAAAUGUAUUACUACGUUUGCCGCUAGGGGCGCUGUUUUAACUGCAUACAAGUUUGACUUAACUUUUACGUUAUCGA
rnacentral:pre_miRNA from 9 species